CUGAGUAGUAGGUAAACCAGCGG
rnacentral:rRNA from 1 species